GUUCCAGCUAAUGACAAGCAAGCCUCAAGACCAUAAGGAUUUGGGGGAAAGAUCAGGAGAGUUGAAGAAAGAAAGGGGUUGGGGGUGGGGGGAGAAAAUGAAAUACCCCAAGUAGAGAAGAAUUGGAAGAAACAAGAAAAGCCUGCUAAUCACACUGCUGUGGCUGUCACAGAUGGGUGUUUCUUCAGUGUUUACACCAGUACCAGAUGCCCUGAGAUGUGCUAAAUGACAUUCAGGAGUGGAUACAGAACUGACCUUUGAGAAACUUACAAACUCUGUGGACAUUCACACAAGAACAGAGAAGCUUCAAAAAUAAUCAGUCCUAAUGGUGAGUACCAGAGGAAAAUCCAUGCCACUAUCUAAACAUACGACCAGGGACCUAAUCCAAUCUGGAGGAGUGUGAGAGGUUGUCUCCUAAAGUGUGAUGCUUACCUGUGCCCUUACAAAAAGUCUCUCCCCCUGUCCAGCUUCCCAACUUUAUCAUACAGAAGCUAUUCCUGAGUGCAGGCUGUGUCUCCACACAGGGCCAUGGCCAAACUAUCACAUAACCAUGGCUGGUUGUACUCAAAGGAGACUCAGCAUCUAGGAGAAUGCCUGCUAUGGUUUAGAAAUCAAAUGCCUUCAUCCCAAUGCAAAAGCACACAUUGGAAGCUUGGUCCCCAACAAAUGAUGCAAUGUGAGAUUGUUCUAGAAAAUUUAGGAGCUAGACCCUUAUUGGAGGAAGUAGGCCACUGAAGUCAGGUCUGUAGCAAUUGCUUCUGUCCCUCUCUUUCUGUCUGUCUGUCUGUCUCUCUCUCUCUUUCUCUCUGCUCCUUCCUUUCUACUAUGAGGUAAAGAAACUCCUGAGGGUUGGAGAGAUGACUCAGGGGUUAAGAGCACUGACUGCCCUUCUCUAGGUCCUCAGUUCAAUUCCCAGCAACCACAUGUUGGUUCAUAACCAUCUGGAAUAGGGUUAGAUGCUCACUUCUUGUGUGUCUGAAGACAGUGAUAGUGUGCUCACACACAUAAAAUAGGUAAAUAAAUCUUUUGAAAAGAAGGAAGGCAGACAGACAGACAGACUCUUGCACCAUGAUGCUCUGGCCAAGUACAUGAAGCCAAGCAACUAUGAGCUGCGCACUCUUGGAAACCAUGAGCCCAAAUAGGUUUUUCCUCUUGGGGAUUUUGGUCAUUCUAAUCAGAAAGCUAACUAACCCAGAACAAUCUUGUUUGGUGAAUUCAGCAUUUCCAUAUGACUUCAAUUUAUAAAUUUAGAAGAAUUCUAUACAGGGAGGCAUUUGUGCAUCUAUAAAGAAAGAAGAGCAAAAUUUUUAGUCAUUUUAUAUUGGGACCACAAGAUCAGACCCCUGCCCCCAAUACUUUCAGCCUUAUCAUGGAUACUUAAUGUUUGGAGACUUGCCCUGGACUGAAAAGCUAAACAGAGAUGAUGUUUUUUCAAAACACAUCAAUUCCCAGGGCCCAUGAAAUAUUUAUGGUAAAUUGCCAACAAAUGUGAAAUUCCUAAUUCCAAAGUUCAGUCAAAUGAGGAUGAGAAACGCAAGACCCAGAAAAGGCUCGACACUGGGCCUGGAGAGCCAGGGAUGGCAACAUGCACAAGGCUGAAGCUGAGGAGCCCCAGCAACAAGGCGAAAUGAGGAUCUGACUGGAUUCCCUAAUUGUCUUGGCAGCUGUCCCUCAUCCCAAUUGGGCUUUUGGACUGCACACCGUACUGAUGGGACAGGGAUGUUGCAUUCACUCCUGUCAAAGCCAUCAGCUCUGGAUUUCAAAGCACCAAGCUGCUGAUCCAGUAGUUAUUUCUCUGUGGUGCAGGGGGAGAAGCGGGAGCCACAGAACCGUAUGAUUGAUAACUGUAUUUUAUUCAGAACUCCAAGGACUAUAAAAAACAACCCUACCAUUUGUUGAGUGCUCGCUGUGAGCGAUGCUCUGUUCUAUUGAUUUUAUAUCCACGGCUGAAUUUCAUUCUCACAGUAACCUUUUUUUAAGUGGCUAUGAUGUCCCUAUUUUCCAGAUGAGGAAGAAGGGUCCCAAGGCAGGUUGCUUGCACAAGAUUACAGAGUUAGAAAAGUGCCAAGCCAGUUGCAGAUGCGGGCCAUUGGAUUCAGGCAGGCAUGAGGAACUGUGAGUGUCAAUGUCAUCCAAAUUGGCCCUGAACUUGAGGUCCUCCUACCAAGGGCUAUUAUUCUAGGUGGGUGCUAGCAUGCCUGGCACAGCUCACUAGGUUCUAGAGCUGGCAUGCUUACGUAUCCCAAAGCUGCUUCUUUGAGCCUCAUAGCAAGCCUACCUCUGCCCUGUAGAACGGAAGCUCCAGGUAUUUGACAGGGACUGGUGAUGGAGACAGAAAUAAAAAACAAAUUCUCCGUUCUUGUCUUUAAUCUCAAGAAACUUCUCUAUUUCCCUUGGGUCUACGAACAGCACUAAAUGAAAGCAACAGCAAGUGCCAGUCUUCCUGAACACUGGGUGCCAUGCCAGGCCUUGCCACAGGUGAUCCGAAGAGAAGUCAAAGGCAGAAGCUGAAGAACAGGGCCAUGAGGAUUCUGACUGCUCUGUGUCAAAACAGACAGCAGAGAAAAACACAAAACAGAGCUGAGUUCCGAAGUCUCCAUUAAUAAACCCUGACGCAAUCUCGUGACCGGAUAGGACAAAGCUACUACUACUUCACCUUCCAAGCCUUGGAUCCAGAAAGAAAACUCUAUCCUGCAAGAGAAGUCAGGAAGGAGACAAGCUGGCCACGCCUCUAGAUGGCUGGGUAUAUUCUCUCUCUCUCUCACGAACAAAGAGACAGAAUGGAAAACAUGAGACACAGCAGGUCAGGAAUAGGCUCAAGCUUCCCUGGCCAGCCAUGGAGCCAGUAGCCUAUGAGCUUACAAAUGAUAUGGUAGAUUGUAUAGUGACUAGGCGCCCAGGAGCUGGAGUUACCAGAAUAAGAGCAUCGGACAAAGUGGCAAACAUCAGAAGCCAACUCUCAUCAGAACCAUAGAGGGGAAGGGAAGUCAGAGACCAAAGUGCCAGUUCGGUCAUCAAAAGGAAGGAAUGCACUUCCCAGUUUCCUGGGAAAGAGAGGGGGCCCCAGAAGUAAAGAACAAGCCGCAAAGUGCAAAAGGUCAUAGAGAAGAAAUGACUCCAGUUUCAUCUCCAGCUAUCUAAGCAUAGAGUUCAAGGGUAGUGCCCAGUUCUGGGACCAACAUCUGGUAUGUUCAUGUUGUACACAGGGGGGCAUUUGUUGCAGGCUGUAUAGUCCAAGGCAGAAGAGGUGCCUGGAAAUGUGGCAGCCUUAGAGAUGGGUAUGAAACUCAUUAUUAACCAGUAACCCACAACAAUGGGAGUUUUGGAAUAUGUCACAAUUUUGGCCCUUUCCAAAUCAAAAUUAACCUGCAACUGCAGGUACACAAUGGUAGGAUUAAGCUGAAUUCUCCAUCACAGAAUUUGCAGCUGAAGAGCUAACCCUAGGACUUCUAACCAUGUAACAUCCCAAUUAACAGUAAGUAGGAAGGUAGCUCCAUCUGCAAAGGGCUUGCCUUAAGAGGCACACGCCAUAAAUUCCAGCAGAGGAAACCCCACAAAAGCAGACCUAAUGGUAUGCAUUUGAAAGACCAAGGCUGAGGAGGCAGGGGCAGGUAGAUUCCCUGGGACUCACUGGCCAGGUUAGCAUACAACGCAUCCAAAUUAACUUGGCUGGCAACUGAGACACAACAUCCAAGGUUGAUUUUUGGCCCUUAGACACACACAGACAUGCGUACCCACAAACAUGCAAACAGACAUAUAUACAUACAAAAAGGGCAGUGAGUCAUGUUAUACUACUACACGUAUAGGGGUGCUGGUGAAAACAUUAGCCUACUUCGAUUAAACAACAAGAAAGUGACGUAAACUUUAUAAAUAAGUUUUGUCUUUACAGUGUACCUUCAUGAGUCCCAAGCCUGGAAGAACUCGAAAUAACUCGGGUUGUCUGAUUUCUAAGUGAUCUUCUUUUCACUGGUGGAUGUGAAAAAGGAGAAAGAUUUGAUACUAGAGAGACAUAGUUGAUUCAGAUGGAAGAGAAUGCAUACAACAUAGGAAAUAAAGCCCUAGGAAAGAAUGCAGGGGUAAGGGUCUGAGAGAUCUUGAGGUACCAUAGUGGCCACAGAAAGAUGCCGAGCAGCAAGUAGCAUUUGAACACUUCAUUAUAACUCUGUCCGGGCAGUGGUGGCGCAUGCCUUUAAUCCCAGCACUUGGAAGGCAGAGGCAGGCAGAUUUCUGAGUUCGAGGCCACCCUGGUCUACAGAGUGAGUUCCAGGACAGACAGGCUUACACAGAGAAACCCUGUCUUGAAAAACAAAAAAGCAAAAACAAAACAAAAAACAAAACAAAACAAAACAAACAAACAAAAAAAGACUUCAUUAUAACUCUGUCUGCAACUGUGCUCAUGGGAAGUGAACAUGGCAGGCAGGCAGGUAGGAGUCACUCUGCCGAUGUGGAGGGCUACAGAAGGGACUACUAUAGCAAGAAGGGCAAGGUCUUAUAGUGAAAAUUCAGAAACACAAUUUGGGAAAGACACUGGUAAAGGGUGGGGAUGUAGGUCUGCAAAAUGAUGCAAGACAAAAGGGGCUGAGCCAGGCAAAUAUUCUCACUUCUGAUAGACAGGGCUCCAAACUUGAUAAAACCAUCCCUUUGUUAAUGAUUUUUAAGUUAUUUCAGCUUUGAAAUUGUUCUCAGACGUUAGAGGAAGGAAAUAAUUGUCAAUGUCAGGUGCAGCCACAUGGUGAAGACUGAGCCCCAGUGUCCCAAGGUACCUGAGACUUGACAAAUGUGACUCCAGAGCUCCCAAGGGAGAUUGUAAACCUCAAAGGAGCGGGAACAAAGGACCAGGGUGUAACGAGGAAAUCCUCAAAGCACGAUGGAUGAGCUCUGAGCUCGGGACCUGAGUGGAGAUGGACCAGGAAAAUGCAAGGAGGCAUGCCACACCCAACGGGUGGUUAUCAGCGGUGUCCUGUCAACCCUGAGGUGCUGAACAAAUGAUGUUCCACAGUGGCCACCUCCAGUCCAGGAUUAUUGAAUAUUUCUAUCAGCAAGAAGCAGUGCGCUUCCUGUACCGGGUGAGCCAGCCCGCAAUCAAGCCUAGGGUCUCGCUAUCACCAGCCUGUAUCACCGCCUCUCUCAUCAACCAAGGUGUAGGCCCACAUUUCACCUCCGAGGAAGGAAGACAAAUAUCUAGGACAGUAACCAGAGGCAGAGGGAUGGAAACUCAUUCCCCAGCUGUCUCUCCCAGAAGCCCCCUCCUGGGUUCACAGAGACUCAGACGUCUUGCUUCUUCUUCACCACAGACAACAGUGCUCAUAAAACUUCUAGGAAGACAGCAGGGGACGCUUCCAGGAAUCCUCAAAUGCAAGCUGCACGCUCAGCUCAGGGGAUGCUAGGAGACUCCCUGCCUGAGGUAGAAAGCACCCCCCCCCCCCAAAGACAGUCCUAAAGCUUUUAGAGACCCUGCUCAGCUUGGAGACUCCAUUUCUGAAGAGCCAGGUGACCCAGAUGGGAAACUGCCAGGAAACAAACAAAUGACUAGUCUUGGUCCCCAGGAAAGCGAUGGCAAGACUGCUUACCUAAGCAGGGGAAAGGGAGGGGGGCAGCAAACUUAGCGACUAUUCAUUUAGAGCGGAAUUAGUAAUAAAAUUCCAUCAUAAAAUGGAAUUUUCAAAAUGUUAGGUCCAAGAAUAUAGCCAUUUUGCUUCAUCCUCAGAAACCCCAUUGAUGCGGUUUUAUGACUAUGCCCCUGCCCCCACCCCUAGCAGUCCAUUCCUCACCAUAAACAAAUUUCAUCCCAGCAUUAGGGCUAAACAAUAUUCAUUAAGAAUCCCGCCAAAGUGCAACAUGUAAGUAAAUCAAACCUUUGAUGCUCUAUUUUGCAAAUUUCAUGGGCCACUAGGGAUAAUUAAAAGGGCAAUUAUAUAAAGUUGGUGCAGUUUUGAGAAACAAAUGACAUUUUCUGCUUUAAAGCACUUGAUAAUUUGAUAUUUUGCUAUUAGGGCCAUCAUGUGUACUUUUAUAGACAGGCCGCCAAAUAAACAACAAAUGUUCCUUAACAGCCUCUAAUGACUGUUUUUGCCCACUAAUAUCACUCUCCAAUCUAGUCCAUAAAUCAUACACUAAAAGAUUAAGGUAAAGAUAAUGAAAAAGUAUUAGAAGCCAUUAAGCUAAAGGAGAAGGGAGAAUAAGAAGGGGGCUAAAAGCAUAGAUUUCUCCUGUGCUUUUUGCAGAAACACCUAUUGGAGACCCAGCUCGGAGUGUCGGAGUGGGCUCAGUUCUGUCGCUGUGUUUAACCACCGCUCCAAAGCCAGCAAAGUACAUUACAGCUCAUGAAAAAUACGGCACAGAAACUGCUAGUGGCAGAAGCAUUUAACUUCAUUGUUAGCAGCCUCCCCCAAGUGGCACUUUUUUCACCAGCAAGUUGUUUAUUAUGUGCGGUGCCAGGCAAAACUGAUUAAAUGGGGCUCUUAAGAAUCAAAGCGUUAUAAAUUCAUGGAAAUACAGCGAGCAAUAAAUUCCAUGGAAUUAAAAGCUUACUAGUGCUAUUAGCAUUUCAGGGUGUUUGAAUUGUUAAUAUUGACGCGCAAAACUGAUGUGCCUCUAAGACAAGGCGGACCACAGCGCCACAUGUGAGGUGCCAAAAACAUUUCUUUUUUAAAAAUCUGUGUCACUGGGGCUGGGCAACUGUAAAAGCAGAUCAAAAAUGGGGUUUAAUUACCUCUGAAAUCCUCAUUUGCCCUAAGAAGUCAAUCCCACCACAGAAGAGAGGAGGCACCAAAUAAAGACUUAUACCCAAGAGGAAACCAAAAUAAGCAUGAAAAGUAUCAUGCAAAGAAUUUGUACUUAAAAUGAACAGAAAUUCCGUGUUAAAUAAGAGAGAAUUUUAUCUGGAGACACGACCUCCGUGAGAGGCAGGGCCAGUGUGCGAUGACCUGGAGGUUCUUGGUUAACACCAAGCAGAAAUCAUCUCCCAGCGGAUCACUUGGGAAAACACCAAGAUGAGGCGGGAAGCUGGAGAGGUGCUAGCUACAUUUUCCUGCUUUGUCAGGUACAUUUAGGGCUCUUGUUGAAGUAUGUAAGGUAUUCUAAAGUGAUAGGGGGUAAAAAAAAAAAGAAAAAAAAGUCAAUUAUUAUGCCAUUAGGCAAGUUUCACCCCCAGUGUAUGCUCUGAAGCAAUAAUUCUGCUGCACCCCCCCCCAUUUAAACGCCUCUUUUUAUCAGAAGCACAUCUCGGAAUCUUCUCUAGGUAAAGAUGAGUGGAGGAGACAGGACAGGAAGAAGGAACAAAUGUUUCCGAAAGAGUUCAGGAAGCAAAUGUGACUCUAUUUGAAAAAGAAAAUACUGCUCACAAAUCCUGGGGUAACCCCUUGAAAAUAUGAACUGAAGAGAAAAUGUAUUCUAACCCUGGAACUUCCGAAAAAGCAGAGGAGGGGGGAGAGGGAACAACCCAAAGCUCUCAACCUAGACAGCAUCAAAACAUACCUUCAUCCAGCCCAGAGUUUGGCCCAAAUACACUACUUUUGAACAUAUCAAUAAAGCUUAAUCCCUCUGAUCAGAGAACUCCGCAUGUAAUAGAAGCUACUGACC